AGUCGAGCGGUAGCACAGAGAAGCUUGCUUCUUGGGUGACGAGCGGCGGACGGGUGAGUAACGCGUAGGAAUCUACCUGGUAGUGGGGGGCAACAGUUGGAAACGACUGCUAAUACCGCAUACGCCCUACGGGGGAAAGAGGGCUUCGGCUCUUGCUAUCAGAUGAGCCUGCGUGAGAUUAGCUUGUUGGUGGGGUAAUGGCCUACCAAGGCAACGAUCUCUAGCUGGUCUGAGAGGAUGAUCAGCCACACUGGGACUGAGACACGGCCCAGACUCCUACGGGAGGCAGCAGUGGGGAAUAUUGGACAAUGGGCGCAAGCCUGAUCCUGCCACUCCGCGUGAGUGAAGAAGGCCUUCGGGUUGUAAAGCUCUUUCGCAAGGGAAGAAAUUUUAUUGUCGAAUAAACAGUAAAGAUGACGGUACCUUGAGAAGAAGCACCGGCUAACUACGUGCCAGCAGCCGCGGUAAUACGGAGGGGGUUAGCGUUGUUCGGAAUUACUGGGCGUAAAGCGCACGUAGGCGGAUUAGAAAGUUGGGGGUGAAAUCCCGGGGCUCAACCUCGGAACGGCCUCCAAAACUCCUAGUCUAGAGUUCGAGAGAGGUGAGUGGAAUUCCAAGUGUAGAGGUGAAAUUCGUAGAUAUUUGGAGGAACACCAGUGGCGAAGGCGGCUCACUGGCUCGAUACUGACGCUGAGGUGCGAAAGUGUGGGGAGCAAACAGGAUUAGAUACCCUGGUA
rnacentral:rRNA from 1 species